rnacentral:rRNA from 1 species
CCUACGGGAGGCAGCAGUGGGGAAUAUUGGGCAAUGGGCGCAAGCCUGACCCAGCAACGCCGCGUGAAGGAAGAAGGCUUUCGGGUUGUAAACUUCUUUUCUCAGGGACGAAGAAAGUGACGGUACCUGAGGAAUAAGCCACGGCUAACUACGUGCCAGCAGCCGCGGUAAUACGGAGGUGGCAAGCGUUACCCGGAUUUAUUGGGUGUAAAGGGCGUGUAGGCGGGAGCGCAAGUCAGAUGUGAAAACCCAGGGCUCAACCCUGGACCUGCAUUUGAAACUGGGUGUCUUGAGUGCUGGAGAGGCAAGCGGAAUUCCGGGUGUAGCGGUGAAAUGCGUAGAUAUACGGAGGAACACCGGUGGCGAAGGCGGAUUGCUGGACAGUGACUGACGCUGAGGCGCGAAAGCGUGGGGAGCAAACAGGAUUAGAUACCCGAGUAGUC